CGCGUGGUUCUAUUAUGUUGGUUUUUAGAACCGCCGUAAUGAUUAAUAGGGACAGUCGGGGGCAUCUGUAUUCAAUUGCCAGAGGUGAAAUUCUUGGAUCUAUUGAAGACAAACUACUGCGAAAGCAUUUGCCAAGGAUGUUUUCAUUGAUAAGGAACGAAAGUUAGGGGAUCGAAGACGAUCAGAUACCGUCGUAGUCUUAACUAUAAACUAUGCCGACUAGGGAUCGGACGAUGUUAUUUUUUGACUCGUUCGGCACCUUUCGAGAAAUCAAAGUGCUUGGGCUCCAGGGGGAGUAUGGUCGCAAGGCUGAAACUUAAAGAAAUUGACGGAAGGGCACCACCAGGGGUGGAACCUGCGGCUUAAUUUGACUCAACACGGGGAAACUCACCAGGUCCAGACACAGUGAGGAUUGACAGAUUGAUAGCUCUUUCUUGAUUCUGUGGGUGGUGGUGCAUGGCCGUUCUUAGUUGGUGGAGUGAUUUGUCUGCUUAAUUGCGAUAACGAACGAGACCUUAACCUGCUAAAUAGCCCGUAUUGCUUCGGCAGUACGCUGGCUUCUUAGAGGGACUAUCGGCUCAAGCCGAUGGAAGUUUGAGGCAAUAACAGGUCUGUGAUGCCCUUAGAUGUCCUGGGCCGCACGCGCGUUACACUGACAAAGCCAGCGAGUAUUUCCUUAGCCGGAAGGCUUGGGUAAUCUUGUUAAACUUUGUCGUGC
rnacentral:rRNA from 1 species